CAAUAGCGUAUACUAAAGUUGUUGCAGUUAAAAAGCUCGUAGUUGGAUUCUCUAUGGGCUCCAGCCAGCCUGGUCUAGUACCAGCCGCCGGCGUGGCGUCCAUACAUCUUUCCUAAGAGCGCGUCUAGGGAUUCAGUUCUCUAUUCGCAGCCCUCUUAGGUCGUUUACUUUGAGAAAAUUAGAGUGUUCAAAGCAGGCAUCAUGCAAUUGUAUAUAUUAGCAUGGAAUAAUGGAACUCGACUUCGGUCAGCUUUGUUGGUUCAAUGACUGAAGUAAUGAUUAAUAGGGACGGUCGGGGGCAUUAGUAUUAAGCGGUCAGAGGUGAAAUUCUUAGAUUCGCUUAAGACUAACUACUGCGAAAGCAUUUGCCAAGGACGUUCUCAUUAA
rnacentral:rRNA from 1 species